rnacentral:misc_RNA from 1 species
GAUGAAGAACGUAGCGAAAUGCGAUACGUAAUGUGAAUUGCAGAAUUCAGUGAAUCAUCGAAUCUUUGAACGCAUAUUGCGCUCUCUGGUAUUCCGGAGAGCAUGCUUGUUUGAGUAUAGUAAACACCUCAACUUCCAUAUCUUUUUUGAAAUGGGAGUUGGACUUGAGUGAUCCCAACGCUUUUCCUCACCGAAAAGUGGCGGGUUACUUGAAAUGCAGGUGCAGCUGGACUUUUCUCUGAGCUAUAAGCAUAUCUAUUUAGUCUGCCUAAAAAACAGAUUAUUACCUUUGCUGCAGCUAACAUAAAGGAGAUUAGUUCUUGUGCUGACUGAUGCAGGAUUCACAAAGACAGGCUUCGGCCGACUUUGUAAACUCGAUCUCAAAUCAAGUAAGACUACCCGCUGAACUUAAGCAUAUCAAUAAGCGGAGGA